rnacentral:pre_miRNA from 1 species
GGCCCAAUUCUGAAGUAAGGUAGACUAGUAAGGUCAGUUGAUCCUACUAUUCUACUGUACUUCGAAAUCGGGCCCAA